rnacentral:lncRNA from 1 species
CCAGAGCUGGGUAAUAUUGUGUUUAUCUGAAUACAACAAAAAAUUCCUUUAAAUAGAGAAAGAAAUCGGCUAUAUUAUCUAAUGACAAACUACUUGAGCACUGUUGAAACUAAUUUUUGUCUUUCCUAAAAUGGAGAGACAACACUAAAGGUGAAUCAGUACAAAGGAUCCAGGCAGAAGAUCUUGUGUACAGAAGCAUCUAGGAAGGCCACCAGAAAGAGCAUGUGUUAUAGUACCCACUCUGAAUACUGCUGGGAGACACAAACGUUUUUUUUGCCAUCCAACUCCAGAUUCCAUGCUGAACCACCAUUCUUUGAACAGAGUUCUUCCUUUGCAUAAAAUAUAACAUACUCAGUUAGGA